rnacentral:rRNA from 1 species
GUAGGGUGGCGAGCGUUGUCCGGAAUUAUUGGCGUAAAGAGCUCGUAGGCGGUGUGUCGCGUCGGCCGUGAAAACCUGCAGCUUAACUGUGGGCGUGCGGUCGAUACGGGCAUCACUGGAGUUCGGCAGGGGAGACUGGAAGUUCCUGGUGUAGCGGUGAAAUGCGCAGAUAUCAGGAGGAACACCGGUGGCGAAGGCGGGUCUCUGGGCCGAAUACUGACGCUGGAGGAGCGAAAGCGUGGGGAGCAAACAGG